CAUUGCUGAAAAUAGUAACUCAGAUGCAAGUGAAACAGGAACAUACUUGGACUGAAUGGGCUGUUCCAAGAGGAAGUGCAUGUAUGUGUCCAUACUGUGAUCACUGUGCCAAACUUUCACAUCUAACAGUCUGAAUGUACUCUGUUGAAACACCAGGAAACAAAAUAUGCAGUACAGAACCUGUAAUUAUGCCAGCCAGUUUCCUGAUUGCAUUGUAUCCCAACAAAUUAUUGUAUGCAUGUCUGCUAACAGCACUUCUUAUGCUAGAAGGGUGUUUUCAUCAUACAGCAAGCAUCUUUUUGUGGAGGUACUGCUGCUUAUUAGAAAUGUGCUAUUAUUUACAUCAACUGGAAAUGGCUGAUAAACAAAGAACAUUUAGUGCUACAUAAGCAAUUGUCAAUGUUUAAGUGAAUUGUACAGAAAUUGUAAAGAUUAUUGUUGAAGAAAAUAAAUUUGUGUUUAGUGUA